rnacentral:tRNA from 1 species
GUCCUCGUAGCCAAAUUGGAAAGGCAUCCGGCUUCGAACCGGAAGAUCUGGGAGUUCGAGUCUCUCCGAGGACGCCA